rnacentral:rRNA from 1 species
UACGUAGGCAGCAAGCGUUGUUCGGAGUUACUGGGCGUAAAGAGUGCGUAGGUGGUGCCCUAAGUCUGUUGUGAAAUCUCCCGGCUUAACUGGGAGGGUGCGGUGGAAACUGGGGUGCUUGAGUGUGGGAGAGGUAAGCGGAAUUCCUGGUGUAGCGGUGAAAUACGUAGAUAUCAGGAGGAACACCGGUGGUGUAGACGGCUUACUGGACCACGACUGACACUGAGGCACGAAAGCGUGGGUAGCAAACAGG